rnacentral:misc_RNA from 1 species
AAGAGUGAUAAAUAUUAUUGAUAUCAAAGCAAUUAAACAAUUUGAAAGGCCAGACAUCAACUUCAAACCAUUCAGACAUUAUUUUCUUAUUCACGGUUUCUUCGUCUCAGAAAACAGGGGCUCUGUAAUUCAGACUCAAAACCGAUAAUCCAGUUUGCACCUCAGCUAAUCACGAUGACAGGCAAGCUUUUCAACACAAAUUGCACAUGGGGAAAUCAGUCUCUCAUUUGGAUAAUUACCAUCUAAACACCUUUAGAUUCCACUGCCUCGGCUACAGACUUUUUCCGGGCGUCAACAUCUUCCUUUCGCACAGCCACAGAACCAGCACCGAUCCCAACGUCCUUCUCAUCCGGAAAACGCACCACCACUACAGGACACACACAAUGAUGCACACAGUAAUCGCUAACGCUCCCGAGCCCGCCGUCAUUUCCACGCUUUGCUGCACCAAAACCCCGACUGCCCAUGAUCAGGGCAUUCAGCCCCAAUCUCUCUACUUCCA